GAUGUUGGGUUAAGUCCCGUAACGAGCGCAACCCUUGUCCUUAGUUACCAGCACGUUAUGGUGGGCACUCUAAGGAGACUGCCGGUGACAAACCGGAGGAAGGUGGGGAUGACGUCAAGUCAUCAUGGCCCUUACGGCCUGGGCUACACACGUGCUACAAUGGUCGGUACAGAGGGUUGCCAAGCCGCGAGGUGGAGCUAAUCCCAUAAAACCGAUCGUAGUCCGGAUCGCAGUCUGCAACUCGACUGCGUGAAGUCGGAAUCGCUAGUAAUCGCGAAUCAGAAUGUCGCGGUGAAUAC
rnacentral:rRNA from 1 species